UCGCCUGUUUAUCAAAAACAUCGCCUCUUGCUUUUUAUAAGAGGUCUAGCCUGCCCAGUGACACUUGUUCAACGGCCGCGGUAUCCUAACCGUGCAAAGGUAGCAUAAUCACUUGUCCUUUAAAUAAGGACCAGUAUCAACGGCACAACGAAGACUAUACUGUCUCCCUACUCCAAUCAGUGAAACUGAUCUCCCCGUGAAAAAGCAGGGAUAUCCUUAUAAGACGAGAAGACCCCAUGGAGCUUUAAGCCCGGUAACAACCCCCUCCAUUUAUUCCCUUUUAGACUAAAAGACCUUGCUUACCACUUUAGGUUGGGGCGACCACGAAGUACACUAAAACCUUCACGAUAAAAGGAGCCUGCUCCUUAUCUACGAACUACCCCUCUAAGAAUCAGAACCCUGAUAUAAAAUGAUCCGAUCUAAUCGAUCAACGAACCAAGUUACCCUGGGGAUAACAGCGCAAUCCAUUUUAAGAGUUCUUAUCGCCAAAUGGGUUUACGACCUCGAUGUUGGAUCAGGGUAUCCUGGUGGUGCAACCGCUACUAACGGUUCGUUUGUUCAACGAUUAAAACCCUACGUGAUCUGAGUUCAGACCGGA
rnacentral:rRNA from 1 species